rnacentral:rRNA from 1 species
UGUGAGCUCGAUGAGUAGGGCGGGACACGUGGUAUCCUGUCUGAAUAUGGGGGGACCAUCCUCCAAGGCUAAAUACUCCUGACUGACCGAUAGUGAACCAGUACCGUGAGGGAAAGGCGAAAAGAACCCCGGCGAGGGGAGUGAAAAAGAACCUGAAACCGUGUACGUACAAGCAGUGGGAGCAGUGACUGCGUACCUUUUGUAUAAUGGGUCAGCGACUUAUAUUCUGUAGCAAGGUUAACCGAAUAGGGGAGCCGAAGGGAAACCGAGUCUUAACUGGGCGUUAAGUUGCAGGGUAUAGACCCGAAACCCGGUGAUCUAGCCAUGGGCAGGUUGAAGGUUGGGUAACACUAACUGGAGGACCGAACCGACUAAUGUUGAAAAAUUAGCGGAUGACUUGUGGCUGGGGGUGAAAGGCCAAUCAAACCGGGAGAUAGCUGGUUCUCCCCGAAAGCUAUUUAGGUAGCGCCUCGUGAAUUCAUCUCCGGGGGUAGAGCACUGUUUCGGCAAGGGGGUCAUCCCGACUUACCAACCCGAUGCAAACUGCGAAUACCGGAGAAUGUUAUCACGGGAGACACACGGCGGGUGCUAACGUCCGUCGUGAAGAGGGAAACAACCCAGACCGCCAGCUAAGGUCCCAAAGUCAUGGUUAAGUGGGAAACGAUGUGGGAAGGCCCAGACAGCCAGGAUGUUGGCUUAGAAGCAGCCAUCAUUUAAAGAAAGCGUAAUAGCUCACUGGUCGAGUCGGCCUGCGCGGAAGAUGUAACGGGGCUAAACCAUGCACCGAAGCUGCGGCAGCGACGCUUAUGCGUUGUUGGGUAGGGGAGCGUUCUGUAAGCCUGUGAAGGUGUGCUGUGAGGCAUGCUGGAGGUAUCAGAAGUGCGAAUGCUGACAUAAGUAACGAUAAAGCGGGUGAAAAGCCCGCUCGCCGGAAGACCAAGGGUUCCUGUCCAACGUUAAUCGGGGCAGGGUGAGUCGACCCCUAAGGCGAGGCCGAAAGGCGUAGUCGAUGGGAAACAGGUUAAUAUUCCUGUACUUGGUGUUACUGCGAAGGGGGGACGGAGAAGGCUAUGUUGGCCGGGCGACGGUUGUCCCGGUUUAAGCGUGUAGGCUGGUUUUCCAGGCAAAUCCGGAAAAUCAAGGCUGAGGCGUGAUGACGAGGCACUACGGUGCUGAAGCAACAAAUGCCCUGCUUCCAGGAAAAGCCUCUAAGCAUCAGGUAACAUCAAAUCGUACCCCAAACCGACACAGGUGGUCAGGUAGAGAAUACCAAGGCGCUUGAGAGAACUCGGGUGAAGGAACUAGGCAAAAUGGUGCCGUAACUUCGGGAGAAGGCACGCUGAUAUGUAGGUGAAGUCCCUCGNUGGAGCUGAAAUCAGUCGAAGAUACCAGCUGGCUGCAACUGUUUAUUAAAAACACAGCACUGUGCAAACACGAAAGUGGACGUAUACGGUGUGACGCCUGCCCGGUGCCGGAAGGUUAAUUGAUGGGGUUAGCGGUAACGCGAAGCUCUUGAUCGAAGCCCCGGUAAACGGCGGCCGUAACUAUAACGGUCCUAAGGUAGCGAAAUUCCUUGUCGGGUAAGUUCCG